GAUAACUAAACAAAUCUCAAUUAAUCUUGAUAAAUUUUGUGAAUCAAAGAAUAAGUCACUCAUUUAAAGCCUUACCGAUUAAAGCAAUUUGAUACUUCAAAAUUUGGCAUCUUUCUCUUGCUUCAGAUACGGAGUCGUGCCGAGUUAAGUCGUUAUCUUGUAACGUGAAGACCCAUGUACUAACUCUUCUUUUAUUUCAGCUCGAGCCAUCAUAAAUUCAGAAGUCAUCUUUUUUAACAUCUUCAUCAACGAAUUUUUCAGAUGGGUCAAGCGCCAAAUUAACCCCAUUUUCUCAACCAACUUAAAGAUACUUUUAUUAUCUUUUUAUCAUCUCCAAUGCCGCCUUGGAGGCGAUUGCGCUUGAAGUUCAAGCAUACCAUAGACCAGUCGGUUUCUUCCGCCCCGCCACAUCAGUACGUUGAGGACCAAAAUCGGCGGAUCGAUCAACUUGCUUCACAUCGAUGGAGGUUCGAGACCUUGUGGGGUUGUUGUAGAAGAAUUUCUUGGGGCCUAGCGCUCCAAAAUGGUUGCUCAUCGCUGGAGAGAACGUGAUGGAGGAGGAGGAGGAGAAAGAAUGAGAUGAUCAAAGAUGGGUUUGAGAUUAGGAUUAGGGUUUGAAUUUAGGUGUUAGGGUGGAUUCUGAAUUUUGGAGAUUGAGUGUAUCUUUUUUCAAUAACUAUACCGACAAGAAAAUUAGAUCGAUAGAAUAAAAUAAAUUUAUUCGUUCCCGCGAAUAAAUUCAGUUUAUUCUAUCGGUCCAAUUUUAUUAAGAUCCUUUAAAAGAAAAAAAUAUAUUCGAAGAGUUUGUAAAUGUGUGAAAUUCUGAUCUUUGUAAAUACAAAAUUGAUAUUUUCAUAAUAUUUUUUAAAAUAUAUAAUAAUGGUAAAAAUUGUCG
rnacentral:lncRNA from 1 species